rnacentral:lncRNA from 1 species
GGGAGCUUGGGGGUUUAGGGGGGAGGAGGUGGGGGUUACAAGAUGGAGAGAAGACAGACAGACAGACCCAGCUGAAUGCUGGAAGUGCUGAGUGGGGCAUGAGGCAUUCAGGCAAUGCCCUUUUGAUUUGACCUUCCCUGAAGUCCUGGUCAGUUUUCAUUGUCAAUCAGAUUCAACCUAGAGUGGCCUGAGCAAAUGAACCUCGACUGGAGCGUCGCCUGGCUCAUACCAGCCUGGUGACUCCCCUGGCCUCCUUCCCUGAGGCCAGUGAACAUACCCAUCCA